AAUCCCACUCUCUAUAGCAUUCAUAAACUACAAGAAAGCAUUCUUUCAGUAUCUAUAAGGAAAUACUAAUGACAUUAAGAAAUCAGAGAAUAGAUCAUUGGUAAAUAGAAAUAUGUAUUGUUGUAGGGAAGUAAAAGACAUAAUGUGAUUACACAAAGAUAAAUAGGAAAAUAAAAGGACAAAAGGAGUUUGUUAGGGAAACAUCUCAUCAAAACUGUUCAGCCUGUUUAGAAGAAAUAUAUAGCAAUGAAUAAAUAGAGAGGAACACAUAAGAAUAAACCUCAAUGGAAAGCAUUUUGGUCACCUGAGAUUUAUAGUUAAAAUAGUAUUUUUGUCCAAAUACUGAUGAAAUACAAGAAAUGCUCAGUGCUCAUGAUAGAAAGCAACUAAGAGUCUUUAAAAUAAGACUGCACAUGAACUAUAGGAAGACAAAGAUAAUUUCAGACAAAGAGCUAUAAAAAGACCAAGAUAAUUUCAACAUAAAAGUAAAGUUACAACUAGUGGCAAUAGAAAAUUGGAUAAUUGAAAGGAUAGAAGAUUGCAAAUAUUUAGGAUAAAUAAUUAUAACACAAGAAAAACAAAUUAAAGAAAGUCAACAUAGCAUGCAAUUAAGAUGAAAUGCAUGGCAUUUUAAUUGCAUCCUAUGUUACCAAUAUCCUAAAUACAUCCUAUGUUGGCCAAUACAGAAAUAUCCCAAGGGACAACAGGAUAUCAAUAUAUAUCUCAGAAGAAAAUUCUUCCACAUGUGCAUGUGAAAUUAUGACUUAUGACGCGUGUGAAAUUAUGACAUAUAUGGAUGUGAAAUAUGGAACUUUACAAAGAAAAUGGAAUAGAACUAGCAAUAACUCAGAAGAAUGGAAAGAUACAUAUUAGAAUUAACCAGGAGGGGGAUUGCAAGACUAGCACAUGGAUAAGAGAAAAAACCACAUUAGAAAACAUAAUGAUAACAGAAGUAGUAAGUGGCAUUUGAAAAACCACAUAGCAAGAUAAAUUUCAAGUAAUUUAAACAUAUUAUUGACUAUAAUAAUGAGUCAAUAGUUUAUCAAUCAUAUUGAAUAUCCAUUAUUUUAAUGAAAAUAUAACUUGCAAAAGUAAAAUCAGUAGCACAGAUAAC
rnacentral:lncRNA from 1 species